GUGGAGCGACGAGUUAGAGAGGAGAUUCAGGUAAGAACAAACCAGAUGAAAGUUGAAGAGAAAUCCAACCAGAGUAAGUUACCUGGAGCAGUAGAGUACGCGUACAUAAAGUCUGCCUCCACGGGAAUCUUCGCAGACGUUUCGUCUACUGCAGCAUCCAUUUUGUCAACUGCAGCA